rnacentral:snRNA from 1 species
GGAUAUGAGGGUGAUCUGGCAGCAACAUCUGUCACCUCAUUGAUCACCAGGGUUGAUUUGACUGAUUUGGCUGGGUAGGCGGGUGUCCCCUUCCUCCCUCAUCACUCCAUGUGCGUCCCUCCCAAAGCUGUGUGCUUGGUCGAAGAGGACAACCAUCUCUGAUAAAGGAGGACCAGUCUUUGGUCAAGGGUAUACGAGUAGCUGUGCUCCCCUGCUAGAACCUCCAAACAAGCUCUCAAAAACAGGUAGUGUGCUGGCUUUGGCCCAGACCUUUGCUUGCCAGCCUCUGUUUUUAGAUGGAUCAUUCUG